AUUGAACGCUGGCGGCAGGCCUAACACAUGCAAGUCGAACGAGUGGCGGACGGGUGAGUAAUGUCUGGGAAACUGCCUGCUGGAGGGGGUUAACUUCUGGAAAUGGUAGCUAAUACCGCAUACCAUCAGAUGUGCCCAGAUGGGAUUAGCUUGUUGGGGGGGUAACGGCUCACCAAGGCGACGAUUCCUAGGUGGUCUGAGAGGAUGACAAGCCACACUGGAACUGGGACACGGUCCAGACUCCUACGAGAGGCAGCAGUGGGGAAUAUUGCACAAUGGGCGCGAGCCUGAUGCAGCCAUGCCUCGUGUGUGAAGGAGGCCUUCGGGUUGUAAAGUACUUUCAGCGGGGAGGCGUUACCCGCAGAAGAAGCACCGGCUAACUCCGUGCCAGCAGCCGCGGUAAUAC
rnacentral:rRNA from 1 species